rnacentral:rRNA from 1 species
UACGGGGGGGGCAAGCGUUGUUCGGAAUUACUGGGCGUAAAGCGCGUGUAGGCGGCAGCGUAAGUCGGGCGUGAAAUCCCACGGCUCAACCGUGGAAGUGCACUCGAAACUGCGCAGCUAGAGUCCUGGAGAGGAAGGUGGAAUGCUUGGUGUAGAGGUGAAAUUCGUAGAUAUCAAGCGGAACACCGGUGGCGAAGGCGGCCUUCUGGACAGUGACUGACGCUGAGACGCGAAAGCGUGGGGAGCAAACAGG